GACGAACGCUGGCGGCGUGCUUAACACAUGCCAGUCGAACGGAAAGGCCCCUUUGGGGGUCCUCGAGUGGCGAACGGGUGAGUAACACGUGAGUAACCUGCCCUUGACUUCGGGAUAACUUCAGGAAACUGGGGCUAAUACCGGAUAGGAAUCCUUGCUGCAUGGUGGGGGUUGGAAAGCUUCGGCGGUUUUGGAUGGACUCACGGCUUAUCAGCUUGUUGGUGGGGUAGUGGCUUACCAAGGCUUUGACGGGUAGCCGGCCUGAGAGGGCGACCGGCCACAUUGGGACUGAGAGACGGCCCAGACUCCUACGGGAGGCAGCAGUGGGGAAUAUUGCACAAUGGGCGGAAGCCUGAUGCAGCAACGCCGCGUGCGGGAUGACGGCCUUCGGGUUGUAAACCGCUUUCAGCAGGGGCGAAGCUUGUGGUGACGGUACCUGCAGAAGAAGCACCGGCUAACUACGUG
rnacentral:rRNA from 1 species